rnacentral:lncRNA from 1 species
GGACUUAGGCUAUGUGCCUCGGACACAAAAAUUACAAAGGUUCAACUACGGUUGAACAACAACUCAGGCUAUGUGCCUUCGCCCAAAAGUUCAACUAUGAGUUGAAAUAGGACUCAGGCUAUGUGCCUUCGACAUCAAAAAAUUACAAAGGUUCAACUACGGUUGAGCAACAGCUCAGGCUACGUGAUGUCGCCCAAAAGUUCAACUAUGAGUUGAACUGGGACUCAGGCUAUGUGCCUUCGACAACAAAAUUACAGAGGUUCAACUAUGAGUUGAACUGGGACACAGGCUAUGUGCCUUCGACAACAAGAAUUGCAAAGGUUCAACUCUUGUUGAACAAUAACUCAGGCUACGUGCCCUCGCCCAAAAGUUCAACU